CAUCUGUUUGAGGCCAACACACCUUGUGCUUCUAGGUUAAAGAAGAUUCCCUCAACUGAAUAUGCUGACAAGAUAGAAGAGCCGCCCCGCACCCUCCACCCUCGCCCGCCGCUCCCCAAGAGGUGAUGAUGGAUCCUUUUAGAGAAGAAAGUACCAACCAUCUUAAAGUCCAUCCCUCCAGUCACAGGAGCCCAAAACCGUGCGAAUCCCUAGAGAGAGCCCACCCGAUGCCUCUCGUCAGUGAGGUAGAUGGUCAUCUUGCUCGAGGUAUCACGGUGCCAGCCCACAGCACAGCGGAACAGGAACGCAGCUGCCUGGCUGAAGGCACAACUGCCUCAGGGCCGUAACAAGCACACAGCAACUCAUCACCGGCAGCAGGCGGCUCUGAGAACAGCUGGCCCACGGAGAUGGACUCCUGCCUGCACACCACCAGCUUCCCUGGCUUCCCAACACAGCACGUGACAUCCAACUGCCACCACACACACUUCUACAAGUGGGGCUUGCUCCUGUCCCCAUGGGAAUCUGAGAUGGGUGGACGGAUGAGACAAACAGCUCAGACUGAGUGUGAGGAGAUGAAACGACAAGAGAGGCUGCAAAGCAAAAAGUUUAAAAUGAUACCAAGGAGAUAAGAAAUGGAAGGUAAAGGUUAAACCGAGAAGAGGGACAGGAUCAGGACAGAGGCUCCUAAGACGUCGCACUAAUCAUUCUAAGGACAUCCUAAUCAUCACUGUUCACCUGACGCUAUCAUCGAGGUCUCAGCACUUCCACCCUUUCCUUCCACAUCAGCCCACUUCCUGCUCUAACACAGAUGCCCUGCAAGGGCAGAUGACAGCACAUCGUAGAGAUCCAGUGAGUCACAGAGGAAGGAGUCAGGGUAGCAGAGUUCUCCUCCUUGCCCCACCAUCAGCCUCUCACAAGGGAAACUAAAGCUGCACUGACCAACUGUUUUGCACCUAUCAGCCUAGAGUCUGGCACCUCCAUGUGUUGGCACACUCUUGCACACUGCCGAACUUUUAUAAUAGUAAAGGAUUAGAAACACCAUACAUGUCUAUUAGUACCAGGCUGGUUAAGUAAAUUAUGAUGGAAUAAUAUGCCACUAUAAAAAAAAGAAAGGAA